rnacentral:rRNA from 1 species
GACGAACGCUGGCGGCGUGCCUAAUACAUGCAAGUCGUGCGGACCUUUUAAAAGCUUGCUUUUAAAAGGUUAGCGGCGGACGGGUGAGUAACACGUGGGCAACCUGCCUGUAAGACUGGGAUAACGCCGGGAAACCGGGGCUAAUACCAGAUCGUUUUUUCCUCCGCAUGGAGGAAAAAGGAAAGGCGGCUUCGGCUGCCACUUACAGAUGGGCCCGCGGCGCAUUAGCUAGUUGGCGGGGUAACGGCCCACCAAGGCAACGAUGCGUAGCCGACCUGAGAGGGUGAUCGGCCACAUUGGGACUGAGACACGGCCCAAACUCCUACGGGAGGCAGCAGUAGGGAAUCUUCCGCAAUAGACGAAAGUCUGACGGAGCAACGCCGCGUGAGUGAAGAAGGCCUUCGGGUCGUAAAACUCUGUUGCCGGGGAAGAACAAGUGCCGUUCGAACAGGGCGGCGCCUUGACGGUACCCGGCCAGAAAGCCACGGCUAACUACGUG